AAAUAAUACGCAACGAAAAUUUGUUCCAACGAAAUGAACCAGUCGAAUGAGCCCAUGUUUAUAUUGCAAUAACCGCUAGAGUAAGAUGCAUGCGCACACAACGGUAACCGCAAAAACAGUUCGUAUCAACACACAUGGAAAUUCUGUUCUGUCACUGCAACCUGGCCUAGGCUAGCUUAGGCGACCUACGCUUUUACGUUCUUACUUAGAUUUAUUUUACGUGUCAAACGAUCUAUAUAAGCAUCGUAAGGGCACUGAGGCCAAGGCUUCAAAAGGGCAGGCAAGUAGUGGCCGUCGUCAUGCUUCAUUUUCAGGGGCACCAAGGCCAACUGGGAGGGAACCGUCGGCAAUGGCCGCGGUAAAAUUUGAGGCCUGAGCAGAAACUACGAAAAUGUUACAAAGUCGACUUGGUUUGAGACGCGUUUCUCUUUAACGUUUGUAGCGAUAUAGUAGCAGUUUCAUAGCACUAUUAUCAAACAUGAUUGGCACAAUCCUGAAAUGGAUAUUAAUUUUACCACACACAAGAAACAAAGUGCACGCAACCUUGUAUAAAUUUUAUACACUUAGGCAAUACUCGAUUCCCGCUUCUAGCGAGUGAUAUUUAAAGCCUUAAAGAAUUAUAUCCACCUCUAAACAAUUGACUUGGUAAUCUACACGCACUAGUCCUCCAAAUAAUUUAAGCACGGAUACUUGAUGGCUUACCUGAACUUAUGCUGGGCAGUUCAAACAAGUACACCAAAGUUACAAGAGUGAAUUUGAUAAGUUCCAUUUUGGCUUCUAUCUCGAACGAUGUAAUGUACAAAAGUGCGGUACGGCCUUUGUUUACACAUCCUUAAAGCUUAUGAUAUUUUAUGGUAGAAUAAAAAAGAAAAGGACUGUAAUUCCGAACAAUGACAUAUUCUAGUUACUGAACCGUAAGCAGUAUUUAUUCGUGUGUCAUGAUUCUUGCAGAUGUUUGUGUAAAGAAUUGAAUAGGGACAGGUUCACUGAACAGCGUGGAUAUAAACAUUAACAGUUAAAUUUUAGCCUUGAUAAAUGUUUCUUACUCUAAUACCAUAUAUACAUA